UAGCCUUGACAUUGUAUUGAACACACUAGAGAUAGAGUGGUGCCCUUCGGGGAACAUGAAAACAGGUGCUGCACGGCUGUCGUCAGCUCGUGUCGUGAGAUGUUGGGUUAAGUCCCGCAACGAGCGCAACCCUCGUCCUUAGUUGCUAGCAGUUCGGCUGAGCACUCUAAGGAGACUGCCUUCGUAAGGAGGAGGAAGGUGAGGACGACGUCAAGUCAUCAUGGCCCUUAUGGCUAGGGCUACACACGUGCUACAAUGGGGCGUACAGAGUGUUGCGAUACCGCGAGGUGGAGCUAAUCACUUAAAGCGUCUCAGUUCGGAUUGGAGUCUGCAACUCGACUCCAUGAAGCUGGAAUCACUAGUAAUCGUAGAUCAGCAAUGCUACGGUGAAUACGUUCCCGGGUCU
rnacentral:rRNA from 1 species